GCUCAGGGUUGGAUGAUGUGAUCCUAUGGGAGAUGCGGGGCACAGCCUGGAAUGUGGAAGGCAGAUAGGCAUGUUUUCAUGCUCUGUCUGACCAGGCCGCCGUCCUUCCAGCACACCUCCUGCCCCUUGGGCCACCCUGGGAACCUACGUGUCCUUGAGCCCCCCUUGGUUUGGGGUCAGGCUUCCAGAGGCCACCACCUGCUUCCGCCUGCAGCCCCUUCCUCCAUCUGCACAGCCAGGCACGCUGCAUCUCCUGACAGUUCUGUGGGCACAGCUCCGUCGACUGCAUCUGGGAAGGAGUCUCCACUUUGAAGGACUCGUGUGAUUCCACCGAGCCCACCUGGAAAAUCUAGGAUAAUUUCCCUACCUCACGGUCCUUAUCUUAGUCACAUCCACAGAGUCCCUUUCACCAUGGAAGGUGACCUAGCCACAGGUCUAGGGACUGCACAUAAGCAUCUCUGGAGCCAUGAUUCUGCCUACCACAUGUGCUAGUAAAAGAAAGCUCUCCUUGUCUUGUUCUAACAUCACUACAUGCCUCUCUUUAUGUGUCUUGAAUUUUGCAUGUUCUUAACAUGAUUUCAACAGUAACAACAACAAUAAAAAACUUGUGAACCCA